AAUACGGAGGAUGCGAGCGUUAUCCGGAUUUAUUGGGUUUAAAGGGUGCGUAGGCGGUUUAUUAAGUUAGUGGUUAAAUAUUUGAGCUAAACUCAAUUGUGCCAUUAAUACUGGUAAACUGGAGUACAGACGAGGUAGGCGGAAUAAGUUAAGUAGCGGUGAAAUGCAUAGAUAUAACUUAGAACUCCGAUAGCGAAGGCAGCUUACCAGACUGUAACUGACGCUGAUGCACGAGAGCGUGGGUAGCGAACAGGAUUAGAUACCCUGGUAGUCCACGCCGUAAACGAUGCUCACUGGUUCUGUGCGAUAUAUUGUACGGGAUUAAGCGAAAGUAUUAAGUGAGCCACCUGGGGAGUACGUCGGCAACGAUGAAACUCAAAGGAAUUGACGGGGGCCCGCACAAGCGGAGGAACAUGUGGUUUAAUUCGAUGAUACGCGAGGAACCUUACCCGGGCUUGAAAGUUACUGACGAUUCUGGAAACAGGAUUUCCCUUCGGGGCAGGAAACUAGGUGCUGCAUGGUUGUCGUCAGCUCGUGCCGUGAGGUGUCGGGUUAAGUCCCAUAACGAGCGCAACCCUUACCGUUAGUUGCUAGCAUGUAAUGAUGAGCACUCUAACGGGACUGCCACCGUAAGGUGAGAGGAAGGCGGGGAUGACGUCAAAUCAGCACGGCCCUUACACCCAGGGCUACACACGUGUUACAAUGGCCGGUACAGAGGGCCGCUACCAGGUGACUGGAUGCCAAUCUCAAAAGCCGGUCGUAGUUCGGAUUGGAGUCUGUAACCCGACUCCAUGAAGUUGGAUUCGCUAGUAAUCGCGCAUCAGCCAUGGCGCGGUGAAUACGUUCCCGGGCC
rnacentral:rRNA from 1 species